GACGAACGCUGGCGGCGUGCUUAACACAUGCAAGUCGAACGGAAAGGCCCUGCUUUUGUGGGGUGCUCGAGUGGCGAACGGGUGAGUAACACGUGAGUAACCUGCCCUUGACUUUGGGAUAACUUCAGGAAACUGGGGCUAAUACCGGAUAGGAGCUCCUGCUGCAUGGUGGGGGUUGGAAAGUUUCGGCGGUUGGGGAUGGACUCGCGGCUUAUCAGCUUGUUGGUGGGGUAGUGGCUUACCAAGGCUUUGACGGGUAGCCGGCCUGGGAGGGUGACCGGCCACAUUGGGACUACGAUACGGCCCAGAAUCCUACGGGAGGCAGCAGUGGGGAAUAUUGCACAAUGGGCGGAAGCCUGAUGCAGCAACGCCGCGUGCGGGAUGACGGCCUUCGGGUUGUAAACCGCUUUCGCCUGUGACGAAGCGUGAGUGACGGUAAUGGGUAAAGAAGCACCGGCUAACUACGUG
rnacentral:rRNA from 1 species